ACGACAAAUAACUCUAUUCUUUAAGAAAAAGAAUUGAAGGAAUGAACAGAACGUACAUAGUUUUGUGAAAGCAAUUGGAGGGCAAGUCUGGUGCCAGCAGCCGCGGUAAUUCCAGCUCCAAUAGUAUAUAUUAAAGUUGUUGUGAUUAAAAGGCUCGUAGUUGAAUGAAGAUACUAUUGAAAAGGCUUUUCUUUUUAUACAAAAAGAGAAGUUUAGUGAAACAAUAGAAGAAGGAAAUGGAUUACUUUGAAUAAAAUAGAGUGUUUAAAGCAAAACAAUGUUAAUGAAUAAUGAAGCAUGGGACAAUAAGAAGGAGAUUUGAAAGGAUUUCGAG
rnacentral:rRNA from 1 species